CACAUGCAAGUCGAGGGGAAACGACAUCGAAAGCUUGCUUUUGAUGGGCGUCGACCGGCGCACGGGUGAGUAACGCGUAUCCAACCUGCCCACCACUUGGGGAUAACCUUGCGAAAGUAAGACUAAUACCCAAUGACGUCUCUAGAAGACAUCUGAAAGAGAUUAAAGAUUUAUCGGUGAUGGAUGGGGAUGCGUCUGAUUAGCUUGUUGGCGGGGUAACGGCCCACCAAGGCGACGAUCAGUAGGGGUUCUGAGAGGAAGGUCCCCCACAUUGGAACUGAGACACGGUCCAAACUCCUACGGGAGGCAGCAGUGAGGAAUAUUGGUCAAUGGACGAGAGUCUGAACCAGCCAAGUAGCGUGCAGGAAGACGGCCCUAUGGGUUGUAAACUGCUUUUAUAAGGGAAUAAAGUGAGAGUCGUGACUCUUUUUGCAUGUACCUUAUGAAUAAGGACCGGCUAAUUCCGUGCCAGCAGCCGCGGUAAUACGGAAGGUCCGGGCGUUAUCCGGAUUUAUUGGGUUUAAAGGGAGCGUAGGCCGGAGAUUAAGCGUGUUGUGAAAUGUAGAUGCUCAACAUCUGAACUGCAGCGCGAACUGGUUUCCUUGAGUACGCACAAAGUGGGCGGAAUUCGUGGUGUAGCGGUGAAAUGCUUAGAUAUCACGAAGAACUCCGAUUGCGAAGGCAGCUCACUGGAGCGCAACUGACGCUGAAGCUCGAAAGUGCGGGUAUCGAACAGGAUUAGAUACCCUGGUAGUCCGCACGGUAAACGAUGGAUGCCCGCUGUUGGUCUGAAUAGGUCAGCGGCCAAGCGAAAGCAUUAAGCAUCCCACCUGGGGAGUACGCCGGCAACGGUGAAACUCAAAGGAAUUGACGGGGG
rnacentral:rRNA from 1 species